GGCGGUGUAGCUCAGUCGGUUAGAGCAGCGGAAUCAUAAUCCGCGUGUCGGGGGUUCGAUUCCCUCCACCGCUACCA
rnacentral:tRNA from 1 species